AUACGGAGGGUGCGAGCGUUGUUCGGAAUUAUUGGGCGUAAAGAGCAUGUAGGCGGUCUGUUAAGUCUGGUGUGAAAGCCCGGGGCUCAACCCCGGAAGUGCAUUGGAUACUGGCAGACUUGAGUAUGGGAGAGGAAAGCGGAAUUCCGAGUGUAGGAGUGAAAUCCGUAGAUAUUCGGAGGAACACCAGUGGCGAAGGCGGCUUUCUGGACCAAUACUGACGCUGAGAUGCGAAAGCGUGGGUAGCAAACGGGAUUAGAAACCCCGGUAGUCC
rnacentral:rRNA from 1 species